CCUACGGGGGGCAGCAGUGAGGAAUAUUGGUCAAUGGGCGCGAGCCUGAACCAGCCAAGUCGCGUGAGGGAAGACGGUUCUAUGGAUUGUAAACCUCUUUUGUCGGGGAGUAAACUACGCCACGUGUUCCUUUCUGUGUGUACCCUAUGAAUAAGCAUCGGCUAACUCCGUGCCAGCAGCCGCGGUAAUACGGAGGAUGCGAGCGUUAUCCGGAUUUAUUGGGUUUAAAGGGUGCGGAGGUGGGUAAUUAAGUCAGCGGUUAAAGUUUGUGGCUCAACCAUUUACGGGCCGUUGAAACUGGUUGACUUGAGUGAGCGAGAGGUAGGCGGAAUGCGUGGUGUAGCGGUGAAAUGCAUAGAUAUCACGCAGAACUCCGAUUGCGAAGGCAGCAUAC
rnacentral:rRNA from 1 species